GAUGAACGCUGGCGGCGUGCUUAACACAUGCAAGUCGAACGGUGAACACGGAGCUUGCUCUGUGGGAUCAGUGGCGAACGGGUGAGUAACACGUGAGCAACCUGCCCCUGACUCUGGGAUAAGCGCUGGAAACGGCGUCUAAUACUGGAUAUGUGACGUGACCGCAUGGUCUGCGUUUGGAAAGAUUUUUCGGUUGGGGAUGGGCUCGCGGCCUAUCAGCUUGUUGGUGAGGUAAUGGCUCACCAAGGCGUCGACGGGUAGCCGGCCUGAGAGGGUGACCGGCCACACUGGGAUUGAGACACGGCCCAGACUCCUACGGGAGGCAGCAGUGGGGAAUAUUGCACAAUGGGCGAAAGCCUGAUGCAGCAACGCCGCGUGAGGGAUGACGGCAUUCGGGUUGUAAACCUUUUUUAGCAGGGAAGAAGCGAAAGUGACGGUACCUGCAGAAAAAGCGCCGGCUAACUACGUG
rnacentral:rRNA from 1 species